rnacentral:lncRNA from 1 species
UGUGCAAUAAAGUUCCCAUAAAGCUAUUCUCAAUAAUUUGAAAUUCAAUUUACCAGCAAUAACAAAGAAGGAGAAUUAAAUUACUUGAAGAAUUAAAAAAAUUUAAAAGGAGAAGAAGAACGAAAUAACCAUACCAUUCUCAAAUUAUCUGUAAUCUUGGUCUCUUGUUCUUCUGAGGAAGUUCAGUGUUUGAAUAUGGGUUUGGCUUGCUGCCAUCUUAAUGUCUUCUCUUUAAUGAAAGACAGAUUUGGACAAAAAAUAAAAAUAAAAAAAAAAAUCUUUUAUAUAAACUCUGUAUGCUUAUUUUUUGCUACAUUUUUUUCUCUCCCAGUAAUAUAAUUAUCAAUCUGUUUUAUUAUAAUUGAACUGAAUUUCAUUUAUAGUUGGUGAAUUGAAUUUCAGAUGAUUGAAAACGGCUUUUGGGAAGGGGAAGCUGAAGUGAGGUCCGG